UGGGGAAUAUUGCACAAUGGGGGAAGAGCAGAAGACGGUACCCCUUGAAUAAGCCACGGCUAACUACGUGCCAGCAGCCGCGGUAAUACGUAGGUGGCAAAGCGUUGUCCGGAUUUACUGGGUGUAAAGGGCGUGUAGCCGGGCCGACAAGUCAGAUGUGAAAUCCACGGGCUUAACCCGUGAACUGCAUUUGAAACUGUUGGUCUUGAGUAUCGGAGAGGUAACCGGAGUUCCUAGUGUAGCGGUGAAAUGCGUAGAUAUUAGGAAGAACACCAGUGGCGAAGGCGGGUUACUGGACGACAACUGACGGUGAGGCGCGAAAGCGUGGGGAGCAAACAGGAUUAGAUACCCUGGUAGU
rnacentral:rRNA from 1 species